rnacentral:rRNA from 1 species
ACGAACGCUGGCGGCGUGCCUAAUGAAUGCGAGUCGAACGGAGUGCAACAUCGGUCACACCUUCGGGUGCGACCUGGUUGCACUUAGUGGCGAACGGGUGAGUAACACGUGGGUAACGUGCCUCCGAGACGGGCAUAACAGAGGGAAACCUCUGCUAAUUCCCGAUAUGCUGCCGAUGCCUUGGCAUCGACCAGGAAAGCUCCGGCGCUCGGAGAUCGGCCCGCGGUCCAUUAGCUAGUUGGUGAGGUAAGGGCUCACCAAGGCGACGAUGGAUAGCUGGUCUGAGAGGACGAUCAGCCACGCUGGGACUGCGACAUGGUCCAGACUCCUACGGGAGUUAGCAUCCGGGAAUCUUGCACACUGGGCGCAAGCCUGAUGCAGCGACGCCGCGUGGGCGAUGAAGGUCUGCGGAUCGUAAAGCCCUGUCAGGAGGGAAGAAGCUCUGACUGUACCUCCAAAGGAAGCCCCGGCUAACUACGUGCC